AAAAUACUCCCUCCGUCCGAAAUUACUUGUCGCAUAAAUGGAUGAAAAUGGAUGUAUUUAGAAUUAAAAUACAUCUAGAUACAUUCAUUUCUUCGACAAGUAUUUUCGGAUGGAGGGAGUAUUAC
rnacentral:pre_miRNA from 1 species